rnacentral:rRNA from 1 species
GUUCCUACGGGAGGCAGCAGUGGGGAAUAUUGCACAAUGGGGGAAACCCUGAUGGAGCAACACCGCGUGAGUGAAGAAGGGUUUCGGCUCGUAAAGCUCUGUUGUUGGAGAAGAACGUGCGUGAGAGUAACUGUUCAUGCAGUGACGGUAUCCAACCAGAAAGUCACGGCUAACUACGUGCCAGCAGCCGCGGUAAUACGUAGGUGGCAAGCGUUAUCCGGGUUUAUUGGGCGUAAAGCGAGCGCAGGCGGUUGGUUAGG